UUAGUCACGAGGAAAGUCCGAGCAUCGCAGAACAGGGUGCUGGAGAAAUCCCAGUGAGGGUGACCUUAAGGAAAGUGCAACAGAAAAUAACCGCCACUUUGUGGUAAGGGUGAAAAAGUGAGGUAAGAGCUCACUAAGAUUAGGGUGAUCUAAUCGUUGUGUAAACCCCAUCUGAUGCAAGGUAAUGACUUUAGUGGAUUGUUCGUCCCACAGUCUAUACACCGCUUGAACUUAAUGGCAACAUUAAGUCUAGAUAGAUGUUUGUCUAAUACAGAACUCGGCUUAUAGAAUAAC
rnacentral:RNase_P_RNA from 1 species